GUCCCUCUGCUCCAGAGGCUCAGGACACCGCCCUUUCACGGCGGUAACAGGGUUCGAAUCCCCAGGGGACGCCA
rnacentral:tRNA from 1 species